GUCACCGUGGUGUAGUGGCCAUCACGUCAGUCUCACACACUGAAGGUCCGCAUUUUGAUCCUGCGCGGUGACA
rnacentral:tRNA from 1 species